rnacentral:snoRNA from 1 species
CACAGUGAUGAUACUGUGACACCGGAAAGGCAUUCCUCGACCUGAAUAUACGAUGUCGAUUUUGUCAAAACUUAAGUUUCAGCCUUGUCUGAUU